UUAAGUUAGAAAGGGCGCACGGUGGAUGCCUUGACACUAGGAGUCGAUGAAGGACGGGACUAACGCCGAUAUGCUUCGGGGAGCUGUAAGUAAGCUUUGAUCCGAAGAUUUCCGAAUGGGGAAACCCACCAUACGUAAUGGUAUGGUAUCCUUAUCUGAAUACAUAGGGUAAGGAAGACAGACCCAGGGAACUGAAACAUCUAAGUACCUGGAGGAAGAGAAAGCAAAUGCGAUUCCCGAGUAGCGGCGAGCGAAACGGAACAUAGCCCAAACCAAGAGGCUUGCCUCUUGGGGUUGUAGGACAUUCUAUACGGAGUUACAAAGGAACGAGGUAGACGAAGCGACCUGGAAAGGUCCGUCGUAGAGGGUAACAACCCCGUAGUCGAAACUUCGUUCUCUCUUGAAUGUAUCCUGAGUACGGCGGAACACGUGAAAUUCCGUCGGAAUCUGGGAGGACCAUCUCCCAAGGCUAAAUACUCCCUAGUGAUCGAUAGUGAACCAGUACCGUGAGGGAAAGGUGAAAAGCACCCCGGAAGGGGAGUGAAAGAGAUCCUGAAACCGUGUGCCUACAAAUAGUCAGAGCCCGUUAACGGGUGAUGGCGUGCCUUUUGUAGAAUGAACCGGCGAGUUACGAUCCCGUGCGAGGUUAAGCUGAAGAGGCGGAGCCGCAGCGAAAGCGAGUCUGAAUAGGGCGUUUAGUACGUGGUCGUAGACCCGAAACCAGGUGAUCUACCCAUGUCCAGGGUGAAGUUCAGGUAACACUGAAUGGAGGCCCGAACCCACGCACGUUGAAAAGUGCGGGGAUGAGGUGUGGGUAGCGGAGAAAUUCCAAUCGAACCUGGAGAUAGCUGGUUCUCCCCGAAAUAGCUUUAGGGCUAGCCUUAAGUGUAAGAGUCUUGGAGGUAGAGCACUGAUUGGACUAGGGGUCCUCAUCGGAUUACCGAAUUCAGUCAAACUCCGAAUGCCAAUGACUUAUCCUUAGGAGUCAGACUGCGAGUGAUAAGAUCCGUAGUCAAAAGGGAAACAGCCCAGACCGCCAGCUAAGGUCCCAAAGUGUGUAUUAAGUGGAAAAGGAUGUGGAGUUGCUUAGACAACUAGGAUGUUGGCUUAGAAGCAGCCACCAUUUAAAGAGUGCGUAAUAGCUCACUAGUCGAGUGACUCUGCGCCGAAAAUGUACCGGGGCUAAAUACACCACCGAAGCUGCGGAUUGAUACCAAUGGUAUCAGUGGUAGGGGAGCGUUCUAAGGACAGUGAAGUCAGACCGGAAGGACUGGUGGAGUGCUUAGAAGUGAGAAUGCCGGUAUGAGUAGCGAAAGACGGGUGAGAAUCCCGUCCACCGAAUGCCUAAGGUUUCCUGAGGAAGGCUCGUCCGCUCAGGGUUAGUCAGGACCUAAGCCGAGGCCGACAGGCGUAGGCGAUGGACAACAGGUUGAUAUUCCUGUACCACCUCUUUAUCGUUUGAGCAAUGGAGGGACGCAGAAGGAUAGAAGAAGCGUGCGAUUGGUUGUGCACGUCCAAGCAGUUAGGCUGAUAAGUAGGCAAAUCCGCUUAUCGUGAAGGCUGAGCUGUGAUGGGGAAGCUCCUUAUGGAGCGAAGUCUUUGAUUCCCCGCUGCCAAGAAAAGCUUCUAGCGAGAUAAAAGGUGCCUGUACCGCAAACCGACACAGGUAGGCGAGGAGAGAAUCCUAAGGUGUGCGAGAGAACUCUGGUUAAGGAACUCGGCAAAAUGACCCCGUAACUUCGGGAGAAGGGGUGCUUUCUUAACGGAAAGCCGCAGUGAAUAGGCCCAAGCGACUGUUUAGCAAAAACACAGCUCUCUGCGAAGCCGUAAGGCGAAGUAUAGGGGGUGACACCUGCCCGGUGCUGGAAGGUUAAGGAGAGGGGUUAGCGUAAGCGAAGCUCUGAACUGAAGCCCCAGUAAACGGCGGCCGUAACUAUAACGGUCCUAAGGUAGCGAAAUUCCUUGUCGGGUAAGUUCCGACCCGCACGAAAGGUGUAACGAUUUGGGCACUGUCUCAACCAGAGACUCGGUGAAAUUAUAGUACCUGUGAAGAUGCAGGUUACCCGCGACAGGACGGAAAGACCCCGUGGAGCUUUACUGUAGCCUGAUAUUGAAUUUUGGUACAGUUUGUACAGGAUAGGCGGGAGCCUUUGAAACCGGAGCGCUAGCUUCGGUGGAGGCGCUGGUGGGAUACCGCCCUGACUGUAUUGAAAUUCUAACCUACGGGUCUUAUCGACCCGGGAGACAGUGUCAGGUGGGCAGUUUGACUGGGGCGGUCGCCUCCUAAAGUGUAACGGAGGCGCCCAAAGGUUCCCUCAGAAUGGUUGGAAAUCAUUCGUAGAGUGCAAAGGCAUAAGGGAGCUUGACUGCGAGACCUACAAGUCGAGCAGGGACGAAAGUCGGGCUUAGUGAUCCGGUGGUUCCGCAUGGAAGGGCCAUCGCUCAACGGAUAAAAGCUACCCCGGGGAUAACAGGCUUAUCUCCCCCAAGAGUCCACAUCGACGGGGAGGUUUGGCACCUCGAUGUCGGCUCAUCGCAUCCUGGGGCUGUAGUCGGUCCCAAGGGUUGGGCUGUUCGCCCAUUAAAGCGGUACGCGAGCUGGGUUCAGAACGUCGUGAGACAGUUCGGUCCCUAUCCGUCGUGGGCGUAGGAAAUUUGAGAGGAGCUGUCCUUAGUACGAGAGGACCGGGAUGGACGCACCGCUGGUGUACCAGUUGUUCUGCCAAGGGCAUAGCUGGGUAGCUAUGUGCGGAAGGGAUAAGUGCUGAAAGCAUCUAAGCAUGAAGCCCCCCUCAAGAUGAGAUUUCCCAUAGCGUAAGCUAGUAAGAUCCCUGAAAGAUGAUCAGGUUGAUAGGUUCGAGGUGGAAGCAUGGUGACAUGUGGAGCUGACGAAUACUAAUAGAUCGAGGACUUAACCAU
rnacentral:rRNA from 1 species